UACGUAGGCAGCAAGCGUUGUUCGGAUUCAUUGGGCGUAAAGGGGUGCGUAGGCGGCGCGGUAAGUCGGGUGUGAAAUCUCGGAGCUUAACUCCGAAACUGCAUUCGAUACUGCCGUGCUUGAGGACUGGAGAGGAGACUGGAAUUUACGGUGUAGCGGUGAAAUGCGUAGAUAUCGUAAGGAAGACCAGUGGCGAAGGCGGGUCUCUGGACAGUUCCUGACGCUGAGGCACGAAGGUCAGGGGAGCAAACGGG
rnacentral:rRNA from 1 species